rnacentral:rRNA from 1 species
GAUGAACGCUAGCGGCAGGCCUAAUACAUACAAGUCGAGGGGUAGAUGGGGCUUGCUCCAUUGAGACCGGCGCACGGGUGCGUAACGCGUAUGCAACCUACCUUGAUCUGGGGGAUAGCCCGGAGAAAUCCGGAUUAACACCGCAUAAAACCACAGCAGGACAUCCUGCAAUGGUCAAACAUUCAUGGGAUCAGGAUGGGCAUGCGUGCCAUUAGCUUGUUGGCGGGGUAACGGCCCACCAAGGCUACGAUGGCUAGGGGAUCUGAGAGGAUGGCCCCCCACACUGGGACUGGGACACGGACCAGACUCCUACGGGAGGCAGCAGUAAGGAAUAUUGGUCAAUGGAGGCAACUCUGAACCAGCCAUGCCGCGUGCAGGAAGACGGCCCUCCGGGUUGUAAACUGCUUUUAUCCGGGAAUAAACCUAUCUACGUGUAGAUAGCUGAAUGUACCGGAGGAAUAAGGAUCGGCUAACUCCGUGCCAGCCGCCGCAGUAA